UACGUAGGGCGCGAGCGUUGUCCGGAUUUAUUGGGCGUAAAGAGCGUGUAGGCGGCCUUAUACGUCGGCUGUGAAAGUCAAGGGCUCAACCCUUGAAUGCCGGCCGAUACUGUGAGGCUAGAGUCCGGAAGAGGCGAGUGGAAUUCCUGGUGUAGCGGUGAAAUGCGCAGAUAUCAGGAGGAACACCGAUGGCGAAGGCAGCUCGCUGGGACGGUACUGACGCUGAGACGCGAAAGCGUGGGGAGCGAACAGG
rnacentral:rRNA from 1 species